UCUAGCGAGACUGCCGGUAAUAAACCGGAGGAAGGUGGGAUGACGUCAAUCAUCAUGCCCCUUAUGACCUGGGCUACACACGUGCUACAAUGGUUGGUACAACGAGUUGCGAGUCGGUGACGGCGAGCUAAUCUCUUAAAGCCAAUCUCAGUUCGGAUUGUAGGCUGCAACUCGCCUACAUGAAGUCGGAAUCGCUAGUAAUCGCGGAUCAGCACGCCGCGGUGAAUACGUUCCCGGGCCUU
rnacentral:rRNA from 1 species